UAUUUUGGUGUCCUAGGCGUAUAGGAACUACGUCAAGACCAUACUGAACUUGACAGUUAAAUUAUAUUGCGGUAACGAUACUACGGGGGAAGCCCUUUGGUAAAAUAAUUAGACGCCAUAUC
rnacentral:rRNA from 1 species